rnacentral:ncRNA from 2 species
GUAAAAUGGAUAGCGCUGGUACCCUUUGGGUAGACGAGGAAGAGGUGUAUCGAAAAGUCAGCGGAUACCUCUCGGCAACUCCGGUCGUUAGGAAAUGGCAAAACCUUUUGGCAACAAGAGGGACAAAUCUGUUACGGGAGUGAGA